CUGCCGGACGUGGCACUCCUGGGCAGGUGCUCCUGGUGGGUAGGAAGCAAGCUGAAUACAAGCCUAGAGAACAUGCCAGUGUGCUCUGUCUCUCUAAGGCCUCUGCUCCAGGUUCCUGCCCUGACAUCUCUCCACAGUAGACUGUGAUGUAGAAAUGUGACAUCUACCUGCCAGUGUUUUAUCACAGUGGUAGAUGGCUAACUAAGGCAGGGGAGCAUUAGUCACCCCUCAGGGAGUGCCCUGUGCCGUGGGGUCUGGGGGUCUGAUGCUACCACGGUUCACUUCAGAGAAGAGGCAGCUGGCUACUUCUACACUACGUUUAUACGCUCAGCUCUGGUCACUGGACUCUGACCUGGAGAUGUGGUAGCUUCCCCGGAAGGCACAGAAAGCCUGACCUCCCCCUGGAUCAGAGCAUCCGUCAGUGGCUUGUGCUCGCUGACCUUGGAGCGUGCCAGUUUCCGAGGAGAGAUCCUGGGUCGGGGUGAGAGGUUCACUGAAUGGUGUGAACCAGAUACUGGCUGCUGGCCCCUCUCUAAGCCAGUGGGCUGGCUGGGGACAUCUGUCCUACUGGUCUCUUUUGGGUGAGAUACCUGCUACUAACUUUGCUAUGGCAGCAACAGAAGUCCACAGUCACAGCUUGGUUAACACCAGAAGGCAACCGUGUGCUUAAUAUAUGCCAGACACUGAGAGGUGACUCUGUUAAUAGCUCAUUUUCCUAUUACUUGCCCACCGGCACAGGGAUUCACGUGGCUUUUAGAAGCAACCCUUCCUGACCUAUCUUGAUUCGCCUCCUUCUUGGAAUUCCAUCAGAACUGGGUGCCACCUCUUGUCUCUCAGUUAGGGAGAGCUCACUGGAAGCACGUGGGGAAUCCAAAGGCUCCCUGGGAUGGGUGUCUCUGACUUGGGAAAAGGAGCCUGAGUUUUCCAAUACGGAGGAUGGUGACUCCCUGACCUGAUUUCAUUGUAGAAUAGUCCGUUAGCUAAGUUGGAUCCUAUGGCUCCCAUUAUCCAAGAGGGAAGCUCUUGGAUGUUCUGCCCUGUUACUUUGAGCAGUCAGUCUCAUUGGCAGACACGUACUGGCCCUAGCAGGGAGAGUGGAGCCAUGUCAGAAAGCCGACACCCUUUCAAGUCGGUUCCAGAUCCAACUCCCUUGCAGCUACCACUGCCUGACAAUGCCUGUGCACCCUUCCCUGAGGGGCUGGGAUUUCCCUGCUCAUCCUCACCCGGAAGGACAUUUCCACAUUCUCCCCUCCCCAGAUCUCCAUCUGGUUAUCAUAGGUACCGAUGUGCUCAAAGUAGGCCUUGGAGAUGGAGAAGAGGCCGCCGGCAAACGUCGGGGACCUGGCGGGAGAUAGGGAGAGAGCACAGGUAUCGUGAGUAGAGGCAGGUGGGGAGGGCUGGUGGCUGGCUUCCUCUCUGAGGCCUCCUACUUCAAGUCCUGCUCCUGCUGGCUCAGGCAGCCCCUCUGCUAAAUACCACUGUGCCACCUCUCCUUCUAGAACUGGGCCUAGGAGAGAGGCAGUCAGCAACACUCUCUUAACUGGACUGGUCGGUUGAUCAACUGGGGAAGUAGGAACCACCACCCAGCAGGGCCUGAGGGCAUGGCUGCCAUCUGGAGCUGGGGGAGGAGUCUAUAGUGAGGGGGAGGAGUCUAGAACGAAGGGGAAGAGUCUAGAGAGGGGGAGGAGUCUAGAAUGAAGGGGAGGAGUUUAGAAUGAGGGGGAAGAGUCUAGAGGGAGAGGAGACUAGAAAGAGGGGAGGAGUCUCUCAUGUUCUGUGUUGGUGUUAGUCACAGAUCUGCCACCUUCAGAAGCCCCCUGAGACAGAUUCCGCAAACGGGCAAGAUUUAGACAGGAAGGGAAGUAUGCACGUUGUCAGCUGGGCCGACCCCAUUCAAAGUCAGCGUCUACAUCCUUUCAGGGACCACAUGGCCACAGCAUCUGCUGGGACCUAGCCUGCUUCCAAGGGAAGCUGCCAGUUGUCUCGGACAGGGGACACUGGUGAGUGGAGGUGCCCCUGGUAACUGGGGGCAGGGGGAGUGAGAACUCGAUAUGGACUGUGAGGAGACUCCUAAGAGUUCUGGCUUUCACUGACCCACAUCAAGACUGAACCAAUGGAGAAGUCUUAGAGUCCAGCCAUGGGGAUUCCCUGGACGAGCUCUCGUCUUCCUGAUGUUGCUUCUAUAGCCAUUAUCUAGAAGGGAUUUCAGUUGGGAAACCCUCACACUUGGGCUAGCUUUCCCUGCUGCCACUUCUAUCUUCUUCCAGGGCUCCCAAGCCUGCCCAAGUAGCACCAGGAAGGCUCUGAGAACCCUAGAACUCCACAUGAACACCCUGAAACUAGCCUGCUCUUGAGGGUAUGAGAGGAUUCCCAAGACGGAGGGCAUCCCUGACAAAUUAGCUUUGAGGGUAAAUGCCACUCAGGAACUUCCCUGUAGACUCACGCCAACAGGUGGUAGCCUCUAAGAAACACCUGUGUAUCCUGUCCUACUUCCUGGGACCCUGUGUCUCUUUUAGCUCUCACUUCUGCUCUCCAUCGCUCUAAGAAUGAACAUGUGUGGUACCUCCAACAGUACUGCUGGAGAACCACCUCUCCAAGUGUUUCUAGCAAGCAUUAUGUGCUGCCAAGGCACCUGGGCCAAGUGACACAUUCAUCCUCAAACACUGGAGCUUUGUCCUCCAGUUGGACGCUCCUUGCAGAGGCCAGGACGUUAGUGAUGGGUGGGAGCCAGGGCCCUGCCCUUAACUGUACAACUGUGUGCCUGGCCCUGGUUUGGGUGGGGUAAGAGUUUGUUGCUAUACACACCAAACGAAGGCUCUUAGAGGGGCAGAGAGCCAGUAGGGAGUGCUGACUUCUUCCUCUUCCGUCUUCUUUCCUUUUGUUUUUCAGGAUGGGGGCCUAACUAUAUAGUUGAGGCUGUACUGGAACUUUGUAUUGAUAGCUCAGGCUGGCCUAAAAUCUAUAACAAUCAGGACAGGACAGCAGCACACAGAAUCCGAACUGUAGGGCAACCGUGAUGUCACCCCCAAACCCUUUAGCUGGAGAUGAAGGUUUAAAACAGCAACGUGGGGGCUGGGGAGAUGGCUGGGCAGCUAGCUUGCUAGCCAUGCAGCUGUGAGGCACUGGUUUCCGAUCCUGAAACCUCAGAUAAACUCUAGGAAGGCACAGCAACCUGCCUGUUGCUCAAGCUCCCCUCAAGCUCAGAGGCUGAGGCAGGAUCCCCAGAGCAAGCUGGCUAGCAACCCCAGCUACGCCGGAGUUCUGGGUUUAACUGGAUCAAUGAACAAGGUGGAAGAUCAAUUAAGAAUGACUCCCAACAUCAACCUGGGGUACAGAAACACACAGCAGAAGUACCCACCUACACGUGUGCCCACACACAUGCUAAAACAUGUGUAUGUGCAGAUAGACAGGCAGACACACGCCCACACCCACACAGAUGAAAAGUAGAAAACAGUCUGUAGGGUUUGGGCAGGCAGGGAACAAGAGCGGCGAGCCUCCGUGGGCUUUAAGCAGCACAUUAGCUUUCUGCUAUCUAGCCGACUGCUUGCUUUCAAAGGCUCUACAGCAGCGGUUCUCAACCCUUCGGGGGCCACACAUCAGAUAUCCUGCAUGU